UGGCACAUAAGUCACAACAUUAUCAAAUGACACUAUUGUAGAAACUUGCUAUCAUAUGGAUAUUCUAUGGUCCACUUGUCUGAAAAUGAAAAUGUUCUAAAACUGAUCCUUAUCCUAUGCAUCACAAAUAAAUGACAAUAAAGAUAAAUAACGAGAUAGACCCAUCACAAAUAAAAGGUGCCCCCACCCCAAUUGAAAAAGGUCUUGGAUAGCCUUCCCUAUCUUUGGGCAUCAGUUACAAUACCAGUUUACCAAUCAAUGCGAUGCCCAUCUGUGUGCUGCUACCAAUAUAUAAGAAUGAACACUUCUUUUUCAGUUUAUGCUUGUGUCCCUUUCUUGAGUUUCAUGUAUCUUACCGUCAACAUAAAUCACUUUGAUGCUACAAAAGAUACAGUGAUGGGUUUGUCCCAAAAUCUUUUCGUGGGCAUCCUCAUCUUACUUCUUGUAGCCACAGAGAACCAAGAGGCGGUGCAGGUGGCUUUGGCGACGGAAUGUGUAGAGAAACAAGGGGUGGUACAGGUGGUUACACCACUUAUAGAGUGCACAGUAGGGAGCGUCACGUUUAAAGGAAACUGUGUGAAAGGUGUGAGCGAGAACAAGUUCAUAAGUGUUUGCCGGACUGAAGGGUUCACAGGAGGCAAGUGUGGUGGCAUGCGUCAGCUUUGCUAUUGCACCAUAAAUUGUUAGCUAACUUGUCAAUGCAUACAUGUUCCUAGCCAAUAAAGAAAAUGCAUGUGUGCAUGUCUUGUAUCUCUAUGAAGAUGUUCCUCUUUUAACCAAGCGAACUCCUUUCCAUAAGUCAAUUCUAAA